AAAAAAGUCUAAUUUAUGCAGUGAUCCUCACAUUACACAAUAUGUAGAAGAUAAACAAUAACUUUUGACUAAAUGCACUUGAAGUUGUGUGAACAUCAACGUAGUUUUGUAAAUCUGGAGAAAAACAUAUGAUGAACAAUUUAUAAAAAGUUUUCUUCUUUUAAUGAAGCCUACAAUAAUUACCUUCUCAUUGAAUGCUUUAUCAAUAAAUUAACACAAUGAUACUAUUGUAUUUACCUUCCUGACCUCAAUAAAUUCAUAGCGAUUUAUAUUAAUAAACAAUUAAAAUGUUUAUAAUAUCAAAGGUUGUCUCCCAUCUCUUCGGUUCCAAUUCACACCGUCUCACUGAGUAAAGAAUAAACAUAGAGAAAACAUACAAGUUAAUGUCAUUUCAACAUGAGUGAAUCAGGAUUUAUAAUUAUAGUCUGAGGAUCAAAAAGCAAAAUAAAAUGCACACGUGCACACACACUCUUUCAUAAGAUAGAAACGGGUCAGUUCUUGCUCAAACAAAACAAAAAUGGUUUCCGUAGGAACAGGAAUUAUGUAAAAGCUCUAUUUGAGAGUUUCUUUCUGAGCCUCUGCUUGCAGAUGAGCUUGCAUUGAAAAUCAGCUAUUGCCUCUUUCAAAGUUGACAGGUACACUCAAGCAGGUAGAGAAAAAUGCCAACAGGUAAUAGUAUGUGCAUUGCUCAGGAAUGCUUGCACAUCAGAAAUGAUUUGUAUCACUCUUUCCCCAAACCGAGCAAUCCUUUAAAUAUAAUUGUAUUUAAAUUAAAAAAAGAAGAUAAAAGGAAAAUAUCUCUGAGCUUUGUUUUCGUCAAUACACCUAAGACAUGGAGGAGGGGCUCUGAGGAUGAAGGUCACAUCCAUAUUAAUUGCCCUUAUAGUGAAGCCUUCCUGGAGGCCACCUGUCAGCACAUCUGGAGCUCAUGUUGCUGCUGCUUCCAACACGGCACCAUUUCCAUCCCCGCUCUGACUUCAAAGACCCAUCAAGGUUGAUGGGAAAAAGUCAGAAGUAGGAAACAUUGAAAACAACUUGAAAGACCAUGCUAACGUCUCUUUCGCAGGUAAAUAGUGACUUAUUCAUAACGUCCAGGUUUUGUGAUAACAGGCCAGAGCAAAUUUUUUUUUUUGUAUAAAAUUUGAAAUGAUAUUCAAUUACCCUGUUUUUAGGAGGCAAGUGGAUUUUUAAAUUUAAGUAGUUUCUUUUAUUGGCCUUUUGUCUUUGUGUAGUUUGAGAAAAAUGGUUGUUUUUUUUUUUUUUUUUUUUUUUUUUUUUCCUAUCUCCUGAGAGGGCAUUAUCUCUAGAAACCAUUCAUUUCAAGAUCCUUUGUCUUGCUUCCUAAGAGCUCCUUUUAAAGACAUUAGGGGGGUGAGUGUUGAAGAUGAAUCUACUUAGAAUCUCAAAGCUCAC
rnacentral:lncRNA from 12 species